AUUUCUGUAAAAAGUGUAAAUGCUGUGGAAUUGAUUAAUGAAUCUUUCUUUCAAUGGUGGUAAGAGUUUGUCCCACAAUCAAUAGGUUGCCGAUUUGAUACCUGCUCCAUCCAGGCUGGUGCAUGGCAGCCAUACCUCUGUUAGAUAUAUAUUUAGAGGCUCCAAAAUUAGAUUCAACUACAUUUGUUGCACAGUGGAUUUCUUUUCUUCUUUUGGUUGCAUUUUGCAUGUUUAUAUUCUGUGUAGUUUUUUCCCCUUUAACACUUCAGACACUCUGAAUUGGAUCUGGUCCUCUGAUAAGGAGGAGGGCCACAGUAAUUAGCUGCUCAUAGAGCAGUGUUUCUCAAUUACGGUCCUCAGCCCCCCCUGCCCUGCAUGUUUUAGGUGUUUCCCUUCUGCCACACACCUGGAUUGAAUCUUUGGAUGAUUAACAGGCUUCUGCAGUACUUGGUGGCUGGAGAAGACGUCAUGCAAUCAUUUAAUCAGCUGUUGUGAUAUAGAGGAACAUCUAAAACAUGCAGAGCAGGGGGCCUAAGGACUGGAAAUGAGAAGCACUGACAUAGAGGUAUUUGCAAAGACUAAUAAAUGCAAGAUAAAAGGAGCUAAGGUAAAGGAAGGGGAGUGCCUAUUUGGUGGAAUACAGAUGUAUUCCAGGUGAGAAGCAGUGCGGUUCGAGAGUGACGCAGAAUCAUCUGUAUGCAGACCUGAGGAGUACGCUGCAGGCAGAUUGCUACAGUUUGAAGCAACACAGCAAGCGGGGCUCAACCAGUGGCUCCUGGUACCAGAUGUGGCCUCUUACCUGUUAAAUAGCCAAUUGUGAGCCAGAUUAGAGUAGAUUUUUGGAUUGUGCCACUGUGGGUUGCAGCCAGUCGGAGUAGAUCUGAUUUUUUCUCUCUUAUUCAAGCUUUCAUUCCUGUCUUUUUGGAGUAAAUGUUUUUUUGACAACUGUUCCUCAUUUGGAUAUUGUGUAGUUGGACUUGUUUUGGCAAAUAUCUAUUGUAUUUUGUUAUGAUGCGUAACCAUAGAAACAGGGUGAUUUACAACAAGAAGCAGCUGAUAUUGGAAAAGCUGAAAUAAUACAACAGCUGAAGCCAGAAAUUCCAGAGGAAUGGGAAAUGAGGCAUUGUGGAUGCAGAGUAGAAGCAAAGAGGAGAGAGAGAAAGAGGAAAUUCAAAUCAUCUCUACCAUUAAGCAUAAUGGGUAAUAUAAGCUCAUUAGCUAAUAAGAUGGAUGAACUUCAAGCUCUAACUAGGUCUCAGCAAGAGUACAAGGAAUGCAGCAUAAUGUGCUUUACGGAGACCAAACGUCUCUCUGCCAGACUUGCUGACUAUACGAGCAUAGAGAAAUUACAGAAAGAGCAGCUGGAAAAGAAGGGAUGUGGACUAGCAGUGAUUGUGAACAACAGAUGAUAUCUGUAAUGACUCAGAGGGACACGGAAAAUCAGCUACGACACAGUGGUGAGUAAUAAACUCAUAUUUAUUUUGAAAGGCCGAGCAGACAGGGCACACUGGAUCAUCAGCUGCAGCUUUGCAGGGGGUGGAGAGGAGAGCUCAGUGAUCCGAGAAACACUUCAGAAGGAAUCUGUUAGUGUGUGGAAUAUACACUAACCUGGUCUGCUGAUCAUCUACUGUACGAAUUGGCUGAGGGACUCAGAAUGGAGCAGAUGCUGCACUGACGGAGGGCUCAGGUAUGAGUUGAUGUGGAGUGGCACUCCUGCUACCUGCGUUGGCCCAUGAUGAUGGACUAGGUCCUCCUCCAUGUUUAGCAAAAGCACAAUUCCUAAUCCGAAUCCUGGGUCAGACGGGCUCCAAAGAGGAAGUGAGCAGUAUCUGUAGGAGUAGGUGUGGAUCGAGAUCCAGAUAGACAACCAGGAACGAUCUGACAAGGGCAAGGCGACCUCUCAGCCUUGAUCCAGCAAACAAAAGUGAGGUUGCAACAAUGAGGGCGAGAUGAACAGUGCUGGAAAACUACUUGAUAAUGUGUUCAAUAAUCUGGUAGUGGGAGUGUGACUGAGUGACACUUAAGAAAGGAAACAAUCAGAUAGAUACCAAGUCAUGACUAAGUUGUAACACUGUCGGAUCUGUGGAUCCAUUUUCUUUGGUUGGGUGAACAAACUCAGUAGGCUGUUAGCAAUGAGUAGCACACUGCUAGUGGAUAUUUAGUGUAACACGGAAGAAAAAGCUAAGGUUGUUGUUUUUCCGUACAUCCAGUGGUUGGUGCAGGUUGCUAUAAUUGAUAGUAGCCACACAGGGACACCUGCUAGAAGGAAACAAAUGCACCCAGUACAACACAUUCAUUCUAUUGGCUGAGAGGUUGCCAAGCGACGGUACCUUUUUUGUU